rnacentral:rRNA from 1 species
GAAGUAAAAGUCGUAACAAGGAUUUCCGUAGGUGAACCUGCGGAAGGAUCAUUAUCGAAUUAUAAUCCGGCGAGGGGAAAGGGGGGAGUUGUCGCUGGCCUUUUACGAGGCAUGUGCACGCUCUCCUUGGAACCCUUGCCUUAUGGGCGCGGGGCGACCCGCGUCUUCAUAUACCUCUUCGUGUAGAAAGUCUUUGAAUGUUUUUAUUAUCAUCGAGCCGCGACUUCUAGGAGACGCGGUUCUUUGAGACAAAAGUUAUUACAACUUUCAGCAAUGGAUCUCUUGGCUCUCGCAUCGAUGAAGAACGCAGCGAAUCGCGAUAUGUAAUGUGAAUUGCAGAUCUACAGUGAAUCAUCGAAUCUUUGAACGCACCUUGCGCUCCUCGGUGUUCCGAGGAGCAUGCCUGUUUGAGCGUCAGUAAAUUCUCAACCCCUCUCGAUUUGCUUCGAAAGGGUGCUUGGAUAGUGGGGGCUGCCGGAGAUCUGGACUUCUCGUCUAGGACUCGGGCUCCCCUGAAAUGAAUGGGCUUGCGGUCGACUUUCGACUAUGCAUGACAAGGCUUU